GAUGAACGCUGGCGGCGUGCCUAACACAUGCAAGUCGAACGGAGAUUACGGACGGAAGUUUUCGGAUGGAAGACUGUAAUUCUUAGUGGCGGACGGGUGAGUAACGCGUGGGCAACCUGCCCUAUACAGGGGGAUAGCAGCUGGAAACGGCUGGUAAGACCGCAUAAGUCGGCGAGACCGCAUGGUUUUGCCGGGAAAUGAGCAAUCAGGUAUAGGAUGGGCCCGCGUCCGAUUAGCCAGUUGGCAGGGUAAAAGCCUACCAAAGCAACGAUCGGUAGCCGGACUGAGAGGUCGGACGGCCACAUUGGGACUGAGACACGGCCCAAACUCCUACGGGAGGCAGCAGUGGGGGAUAUUGCACAAUGGAGGAAACUCUGAUGCAGCGACGCCGCGUGAGUGAAGAAGUAUUUAGGUAUGUAAAGCUCUAUCAGCAGGGAAGAUGAUGACGGUACCUGACUAAGAAGCCCCGGCUAACUACGUG
rnacentral:rRNA from 1 species